rnacentral:rRNA from 1 species
GACGAACGCUGGCGGCAUGCCUAAUACAUGCAAGUCUAGCGAACAGAUGAAGUGCUUGCACUUCUGACGUUAGCGGCGAACGGGUGAGUAACACGUAAGGAAUCUACCUAUAAGCGGGGGAUAACAUUCGGAAACGGGUGCUCAUACCGCAUAAUAUCUUCUUCCGCAUGGAAGAAGAUUGAAAGACGGCUCUGCUGUCACUUAUAGAUGACCUUGCGGUCCAUUAGUUAGUGGGUGGGGUAACGGCCUACCAAGACGAUGAUGCAUAGCCGACCUAGGAGGGUGAUCGCCCACGGUGGGACGGAGCAACGGCCCAAACUCCUACGGGAGGCAGCAGUGGGGAAUAUUGGACAAUGGGCGCAAGCCUGAUCCAGCAACGCCGUGUGUGUGAAGAAGGCCUUAGGGUUGUAAAGCACUUUUAGUGGGGAAGAAAAGUUCAUGGCUAAUAUCCAUGAAUGCUGACGUUACCCACAGAAAAAGCACUGGCUAACUCUGUGCCAGCCGCCGCCGUAA